AAACCAUGGUGAGGGCACCUUCUCAAUAAGUCCUUGUAUCUCUCCCAUGCAUCAUAAAGUGUUUCUAAAUCCAUCUGCACAAAAGAAGAAACAUCAUUCCUUAAUUU
rfam:Gossypium hirsutum cultivar TM-1 chromosome 15, whole genome shotgun sequence